CCUACGGGAGGCAGCAGUGAGGAAUAUUGGUCAAUGGACGCAAGUCUGAACCAGCCAUGCCGCGUGCAGGAAGACGGCUCUAUGAGUUGUAAACUGCUGUUGUACGAGGGUAAACGCAGAUACGCGUAUCUGUCUGAAAGUAUCGUACGAAUAAGGAUCGGCUAACUCCGUGCCAGCAGCCGCGGUAAUACGGAGGAUUCAAGCGUUAUCCGGAUUUAUUGGGUUUAAAGGGUGCGUAGGCGGUCGGAUAAGUUAGAGGUGAAAUCCCGAGGCUCAACUUCGGAAUUGCCUCUGAUACUGUUCGGCUAGAGAGUAGUUGCGGUAGGCGGAAUGUAUGGUGUAGCAGUGAAAUGCUUAGAGAACAUACAGAACACCGAUUGCGAAGGCAGCUUACAAAGCUACUUCUGACGUUGAGGCACGAAGGCGUGGGGAGAAAACAGGAUUAGAUACCCGGGUAGUC
rnacentral:rRNA from 1 species